AGCGAACGCUGGCGGCAGGCUUAACACAUGCAAGUCGAGCGCCGUAGCAAUACGGAGCGGCAGACGGGUGAGUAACACGUGGGAACGUACCUUUUGGUUCGGAACAACACAGGGAAACUUGUGCUAAUACCGGAUAAGCCCUUACGGGGAAAGAUUUAUCGCCGAAAGAUCGGCCCGCGUCUGAUUAGCUAGUUGGUGAGGUAACGGCUCACCAAGGCGACGAUCAGUAGCUGGUCUGAGAGGAUGAUCAGCCACAGUGGGACUGAGACACGGUCCAGACUCCUACGGGAGGCAGCAGUGGGGAAUAUUGGACAAUGGGCGCAAGCCUGAUCCAGCCAUGCCGCGUGAGUGAUGAAGGCCCUAGGGUUGUAAAGCUCUUUUGUGCGGGAAGAUAAUGACUGUACCGCAAGAAUAAGCCCCGGCUAACUUCGUGCCAGCCGCCGCUGUAAUAC
rnacentral:rRNA from 1 species